rnacentral:rRNA from 1 species
AGACAGCCAGGAUGUUGGCUUAGAAGCAGCCAUCAUUUAAAGAAAGCGUAAUAGCUCACUGGUCGAGUCGGCCUGCGCGGAAGAUGUAACGGGGCUAAACUAUGCACCGAAGCUGCGGCAGCGACACUAUGUGUUGUUGGGUAGGGGAGCGUUCUGUAAGCCUGUGAAGGUGUGUCGUGAGGCAUGCUGGAGGUAUCAGAAGUGCGAAUGCUGACAUAAGUAACGAUAAAGCGGGUGAAAAGCCCGCUCGCCGGAAGACCAAGGGUUCCUGUCCAACGUUAAUCGGGGCAGGGUGAGUCGACCCCUAAGGCGAGGCCGAAAGGCGUAGUCGAUGGGAAACGGGUUAAUAUUCCCGUACUUGGUGUUACUGCGAAGGGGGGACGGAGAAGGCUAUGUUGGCCGGGCGACGGUUGUCCCGGUUUAAGCGUGUAGGUGUGUGUUCCAGGUAAAUCCGGUUCACUUUAACACUGAGGCGUGAUGACGAGGCACUACGGUGCUGAAGCAACAAAUGCCCUGCUUCCAGGAAAAGCCUCUAAGCAUCAGGUAACAUCAAAUCGUACCCCAAACCGACACAGGUGGUCAGGUAGAGAAUACCAAGGCGCUUGAGAGAACUCGGGUGAAGGAACUAGGCAAAAUGGUGCCGUAACUUCGGGAGAAGGCACGCUGACACGUAGGUGAAGUGAUUUACUCAUGGAGCUGAAGUCAGUCGAAGAUACCAGCUGGCUGCAACUGUUUAUUAAAAACACAGCACUGUGCAAACACGAAAGUGGACGUAUACGGUGUGACGCCUGCCCGGUGCCGGAAGGUUAAUUGAUGGGGUCAGCGCAAGCGAAGCUCCUGAUCGAAGCCCCGGUAAACGGCGGCCGUAACUAUAACGGUCCUAAGGUAGCGAAAUUCCUUGUCGGGUAAGUUCCGACCUGCACGAAUGGCGUAAUGAUGGCCAGGCUGUCUCCACCCGAGACUCAGUGAAAUUGAACUCGCUGUGAAGAUGCAGUGUACCCGCGGCAAGACGGAAAGACCCCGUGAACCUUUACUAUAGCUUGACACUGAACAUUGAGCCUUGAUGUGUAG